CAGUCGCCCGGGAAUACGGAGGAUCCAAGCGUUAUCCGGAAUCAUUGGGUUUAAAGGGUCCGUAGGCGGUCUUGUAAGUCAGUGGUGAAAGCCCAUCGCUCAACGGUGGAACGGCCAUUGAUACUGCAGGACUUGAAUUAUUGGGAAGUAACUAGAAUAUGUAGUGUAGCGGUGAAAUGCUUAGAGAUUACAUGGAAUACCAAUUGCGAAGGCAGGUUACUACCAAUUGAUUGACGCUGAUGGACGAAAGCGUGGGUAGCGAACAGGAUUAGAUACCCCGGUAGUCCCUGUCUCUUAUACA
rnacentral:rRNA from 1 species